CUCAACAGCUCCCCACAGGUUUCCCACCCCUCUGGGCAUCUGGGAGGCUUGGCCUUAUCUGCCAUUCCUAGCCUGGCUACUCAGUGCAAUGUUGGUACCUGUCCUUGGGUCUCUGUGGGUUCCCUUGAAGACUCAGAAGAGCUUCUCUGUCAUUUCCCUUGUGGGGUGGAGGUUUGGGGUGGCAUAAACCCUUAAUUCUCCCCAGGUCCUAGUACUAGACAAGAUGUUCAGCAUAUAAUUUUCUAAGUUUCUUAAGAUGAAUUCCUGCAUGGGAGGGUCUCAGAGCCCUGGAUUCUCCAUGCUCAUGCUCCAUCCCUCACCAUGGGGAAAUUGUUCCUUUCAAACAAGUAGAAGGUCCCAUACACCACCUACUCACAGCUUAGAAAUAUCUUUUCUAGGUUCAGUCAAGACCAUCCAACUUUUUUUUCUUGGUUGCUUUGUUUUCUUUAUAGCUUGGGCCCCAGGAGCAGAAGACCACUGCUUUAUCUUUUCAGGGUAAUUUCUCAUCACUGCACAAACUUUUCUUGCUUUUUUAUUUUCUUAUUUCCUUUUGUUCUCACUCUCUUUUUUCAUUCAUAUUCUCCACUUCCAAAUGCCAACCAUUGUGCUCCAUGUGAAACUUAUUUUGAUGAAGCAUAUAUUACUUUGAUGCUUUUUAAUUUUGUGUGUGUUUGUUUAUGAUGCUGGGGAUGGCACCCAGGGCCUUGCAAAUGCUAUGCAAAUGCUCUAUCACUGAACUACAUCCCCAGCCUCUGUGUGUAUUUUUUUAAAAAAAUUACUAAUUCUAUUGGCUAAAAGUCUCUUUCCCCUACCUCACAAAGCACCAUGUUUUCAAAGGCCCAUGGGUGUCAUGUGCUCAGCUAAUGCAUUAUUUCCCAUUGCCACAAAUAUCCCAUUGUGUGCAUGGACUCACCCCGUGUUCCCAU
rnacentral:lncRNA from 1 species